CACGAACGCUGGCGGCAGGCUUAACACAUGCAAGUCGAACGGGUGCAGCAAUGCAUCAGUGGCAGACGGGUGAGUAACACGUGGGAACCUUCCUAGGGGUACGGAACAACUCAGGGAAACUUGAGCUAAUACCGUAUACGUCCGUGAGGAGAAAGAUUUAUCGCCCUUAGACGGGCCCGCGUCGGAUUAGCUAGUUGGUGGGGUAACGGCCUACCAAGGCGACGAUCCGUAGCUGAUCUUAGAGGAUGAUCAGCCACACUGGGACUGAGACACGGCCCAGACUACUACGGGAGGCGGCAGUGGGGAAUCUUGGACAAUGGGGGCAACCCUGAUCCAGCCAUGCCGCGUGAGUGAAGAAGGUCUUCGGAUUGUAAAGCUCUUUUGCCAGGGACGAUAAUGACGGUACCUGGAGAAUAAGCCCCGGCAAACUUCGUGCCAGCAGCCGCCGCAGUAA
rnacentral:rRNA from 1 species